rnacentral:ncRNA from 1 species
UCGACAGGCUCAAUUUUUGGGCCCUCUCCGAGUAAUCGGGAGAGUGAACUUGUCAAAUUCGGUGAAGUCCUUAUCUCCAGUUGGAGAAAGAUAAUACCGAGCCAAGCUCCUCACGGAGAAGGUGUAGAGACUAGACGGCAAGCUUCCUCAUCGUAAAGAUAGGAAGAAGAUAUAGUCCAGACCACAAACUCAUUUGAGU